AAUUAUUUCUGCCCAGUGUAUAUAAUAUUAACGGCCGCAGUACUUUGACUGUGCUAAGGUAGCAUAAUCAAUUGGCUUUUAAUUUGAGUCUGGAAUGAAAGGAUUUAUGGGGAUUUACUGUUUCAAAUGUAUAAUAUUGAAUUUAUUAAAAAAGUGAAAAUACUUUUUUUUAAAAAAAAGACGAGAAGACCCUAAGAAUUUUUAGAAUAUAUUUAUACAAUUAUUUCUUUUUGUUGGGGCGACAAUUAAACAAUUAAACUUUAAUUAUUUUUUAAUCGGUUUUUUCAGUAAAAAAUAAAUUACCUUAGGGAUAACAGCAUAAUUUAAAAAA
rnacentral:rRNA from 6 species